CGCACCUUGCGCUCCUUGGUAUUCCGAGGAGCAUGCCUGUUUGAGUGUCUUGAAGUCAUCAACUCCCACCGUUUCGUGCGGUGGAGACGUUGGAGCUGGGGGAUGCUGCCCGUCUGCGGCGGCUCCCCUCAAAUGUGUCGGUCGGGCCAAAGGGUCAAACUCGAAAGGGGUGUUGUAACAUCCUCGCUCCCUUCGAGUCCUGUCGGUGCCCCUCCUCGACUCAGCCGUCCCUCGCGGGUUGGCGGUCAACUAACAUUGAAAUCUGACCUCAAAUCAGGUAGGACUACCCGCUGAACUUAA
rnacentral:misc_RNA from 1 species